rnacentral:misc_RNA from 1 species
ACGCCGGUGACUGGAUCGUGACA